UACGUAGGGGGCUAGCGUUGUUCGGAUUUAUUGGGCGUAAAGAGCGUGUAGGCGGCCUGGUAGGUCAGCUGUGAAAACUCGAGGCUCAACCUCGAGACGCCGGUUGAAACCAUCAGGCUAGAGUCCGGAAGAGGAGAGUGGAAUUCCCGGUGUAGCGGUGAAAUGCGCAGAUAUCGGGAAGAACACCCGUGGCUAAGGCGGCUCUCUAGUACGGUACUGACGCUGAGACGCGAAAGCGUGGGGAGCGAACAGG
rnacentral:rRNA from 1 species